rnacentral:rRNA from 1 species
UUCAAAGCUUGCUUUGAAGAUGACGAGCGGCGGACGGGUGAGUAAUGCUUGGGAAUAUGCCUUAUGGUGGGGGACAACAGUUGGAAACGACUGCUAAUACCGCAUAAUGUCUACGGACCAAAGGGGGGGAUCUUCGGACCUCUCGCCAUUUGAUUAGCCCAAGUGAGAUUAGCUAGUUGGUGAGGUAAUGGCUCACCAAGGCGACGAUCUCUAGCUGGUUUGAGAGGAUGAUCAGCCACACUGGGACUGAGACACGGCCCAGACUCCUACGGGAGGCAGCAGUGGGGAAUAUUGCACAAUGGGCGCAAGCCUGAUGCAGCCAUGCCGCGUGUGUGAAGAAGGCCUUCGGGUUGUAAAGCACUUUCAGUAAGGAGGAAAGGGAUGUAGUUAAUAGCUGCAUUCUGUGACGUUACUUACAGAAGAAGCACCGGCUAACUUCGUGCCAGCAGCCGCGGUAAUACGAGGGGUGCAAGCGUUAAUCGGAAUUACUGGGCGUAAAGCGUUCGUAGGCGGUUGAUUAAGCAAGAUGUGAAAGCCCAGGGCUCAACCUUGGAACUGCAUUUUGAACUGGUCAACUAGAGUACUGUAGAGGGUGGUGGAAU